CUUUUUUUAGUAAAACAUUCUUUUAUUAAAAGAACAAGUGCUGUUUACGAACUGCCCUUCGUACAAAUAACAUCCGUUAUACAAAGAUACAAGACCCAGGCUAUGCACAAUUCCAGGCUUGGAGGUCGCAGGGGAACACUGCCUCUAGGGCUGAGGAUAUAAAGGUUUCAGAAAGAAUGAAACAUGAGCCCUGGGUUUGCAAUCUGCGGCUUCCCUUCCUUGCUCCCCCAGGAAGGGACUGCUACAUGGAAACAGGCUGGGAUGGAAGAAAGGGAGCCAGAGUCCUUCAGUCCCAGAAAGCGAACACAGGAGAGAGGACAGCCCGCAGUCCCCAAUUCUUCAGUAGGUCAAGACAAGGUGGUCUGCUGGGAACUAGACACACCUCUAAUCCAGGAGGAAGUGGCUGGAAGGAACAGAGGGGCUCCCUGGUCCCACCUUCCUCCAUCCUAUUGGGCACCUCUCCCUAGGAACCCUGCCUGUUGGCCCACUGCAUUCUUAGGUUUGAUGGAGACUAGCAAGAUGAGCCUGUGUCUUUGAAAACCUGUCAGCAUUUCCAGGGUGGGAAAAGGAAAUAGAAGUAUUAGCCUCUCUCUGGGCUCCCCUCAUUUGUCUAGGCCCUUCCUAGGAGUCUAGGGUGAGCACUCCCUGGGUCUCAACAUAGGGAAGGGAAGGGGUCACCAGCCUCAUGAUCAGACUAUCCAGGGCCAGCAGUAGACCCAGGAGCCUGAGGGGGAAACCCACAAGCUGGGAUGAGGGAGAGGGGAUGGGAGAUACAAUUUAUUUCUUCUCUUAAAGGCAACCCUUAAAAGUGUCAUUGUCUGUGGAGGAUUCGUCAGCUCAGAGCUAAGACAGUCAGUGCUACAUAGAUACCUUCCCGCCACAGGCACAACCCUACUCAACCCUACUACACUCACACAACACACCCAUCACAUACACACACACACACACACACAACCAGCCAACCAGCCGCAGCUGAAAAGCUUGACAGUGGGGCAGUUAUAACCACAAGGCCAGGUAUGAAGGCUCCUCAUUGCUGUCACCGAGGUCCUGUCUUAGAGCAGUCACCUGUAAAGCCAGCUCCAACGGCCCCUAAAUACAGCCAGAUCCCUUGUGCCAUCCACCUGCCAUGACGCUCCCACCCCGGUGGGCACAGGCUCAGCACGCGUCACUCACUCACUCAUGUCUUCUCACUGAGGGUGGAGACAUUAAGAUCCACUCAUGCAUUCUCGACUCCACUUCCCCUCUGCAAACCACAUCCUCCCCCUCCCAGACAGAGACGGCCCCGAAUCUGUAUCCUUUCCCUCCUCCUACCAAGCUCUUUAUCAAAAAAUGGAUCAAAGCCAGACAUAGUGGCACACGCCUUUAAUCCCAGCACUCAGGAGGCAGAGGCCAGCCUGGUGUACAUAGCAAGUUCCAGGGUGACCAAAGCUAUGUAAGAGUAGACCUUGUCAAAAAAAAUAAAAAAUAAAUUUAAAAAAAAAGUGAGGUUGUCAGAGCCAUGUUACAGUAUCCCGCUCCCUUUCAAGGACCCUCACAAUUCUCCCUGUGAUGCAGCACCCGGUGCCACAACUUUCCUCAAGUCUCAGAGUGUGGAGUAGCACCGCCGGCCCACCUCUAUCCCAGCACCCGGGAGGCAGAGGCAGGCAGAUCUGAGUUUGAGGGCAGCCUGGUCUACAGAGACAGUUCUAGGUCAGCUACACAGAGGGGCACCAAACCAUAUAGUCCAGAGCUCUCAGCAAGCCUCACCUGACUACCUGUUAGGGCAGCCCGGCCCGGAGUAGGAAAGAGCUCAGGGAGAAUGGAGACCAGACCUCCAGAGCACUGAGAGCUCCAGCUUCACAGGCAACAGCCUUAGCAAACACGACACUCGGUACUUGGUUCUGACUGGGGAAAGGGUGUGCGUGGGCCUGGAUAAAAAGUCCUCUCAGGACUCGAAGCAUCGCUGGCUUGUAGACAAGGAGCCUACAAGAGCUGAAAAAAUGAAGAUGUCUCUCUAAUAUUAAGCAGUUAGAAAAGUGAGUAUUUCUGAGGUCAUCUCAACUGUCCCCCAAAACCCUUCCAAGUGCCAAAGAGUUUGCCUCUGAAGGGUCCCGGCCUGUCCUAACAUCUUACAGUCUUAUCAACAGGACUAUUAUUUCCCAGAUUAGGGGGGGAAAAAAACAAACAGUUGAGCAGCACAGGCAAAAAUAUAUCUGCACUACGUUUCUGUUCUUGCCAAAAAUAUACACAUCUUCUCUUUAUUUAAAAAAAAAAAACAACCAGAAAACAAAACAAAACAAACAAAAAAAAAAAAACAAAAACAAAAAAACCUGGAAAACCCCAACAACAAAAUGCAAACAUAAACACACCAAAAUGCACACAUGCAGAGAGACACACAGACAUGAGCAAAGGGAACUGGAACUGACCCUCAGUCCCAGCCAGUGCAACCAAAAGGGACACAGGCUUCCGUAGCAGUGCUCCGUGU
ensembl:lncRNA